rnacentral:rRNA from 1 species
CAGUCGCCGCGGUAAUACGAAGGGGGCUAGCGUUGUCCGGAUUUACUGGGCGUAAAGGGCGCGUAGGCGGACUGAUAAGUCAGGGGUGAAAUCCCAAGGCUCAACCUUGGAACUGCCUUUGAUACUGUUUGUCUUGAGUUCGAGAGAAGUAAGUGGAACUGCGAGUGUAGAGGUGAAAUUCGUAGAUAUUCGCAAGAACACCAGUGGCGAAGGCGGCUUACUGGCUCGAAACUGACGCUGAGGCGCGAAAGCGUGGGGAGCAAACAGGAUUAGAUACCCCAGUAGUCCCUGUCUCUUAUAC